rnacentral:rRNA from 1 species
GACGAACGCUGGCGGCGUGCCUAAUACAUGCAAGUCGAACGCUUCUUUCCUCCCGAGUGCUUGCACUCAAUUGGAAAGAGGAGUGGCGGACGGGUGAGUAACACGUGGGUAACCUACCCAUCAGAGGGGGAUAACACUUGGAAACAGGUGCUAAUACCGCAUAACAGUUUAUGCCGCAUGGCAUAAGAGUGAAAGGCGCUUUCGGGUGUCGCUGAUGGAUGGACCCGCGGUGCAUUAGCUAGUUGGUGAGGUAACGGCUCACCAAGGCCACGAUGCAUAGCCGACCUGAGAGGGUGAUCGGCCACACUGGGACUGAGACACGGCCCAGACUCCUACGGGAGGCAGCAGUAGGGAAUCUUCGGCAAUGGACGAAAGUCUGACCGAGCAACGCCGCGUGAGUGAAGAAGGUUUUCGGAUCGUAAAACUCUGUUGUUAGAGAAGAAUAAGGACGUUAGUAACUGAACGUCCCCUGACGGUAUCUAACCAGAAAGCCACGGCUAACUACGUG